rnacentral:rRNA from 1 species
AGUGAACGCUGGCGGUAGGCCUAACACAUGCAAGUCGAACGGCAGCACAGUAAGAGCUUGCUCUUACGGGUGGCGAGUGGCGGACGGGUGAGGAAUACAUCGGAAUCUACUUUUUCGUGGGGGAUAACGUAGGGAAACUUACGCUAAUACCGCAUACGACCUACGGGUGAAAGCAGGGGAUCUUCGGACCUUGCGCGAUUGAAUGAGCCGAUGUCGGAUUAGCUAGUUGGCGGGGUAAAGGCCCACCAAGGCGACGAUCCGUAGCUGGUCUGAGAGGAUGAUCAGCCACACUGGAACUGAGACACGGUCCAGACUCCUACGGGAGGCAGCAGUGGGGAAUACUGGACAAUGGGCGCAAGCCUGAUCCAGCCAUACCGCGUGGGUGAAGAAGGCCUUCGGGUUGUAAAGCCCUUUUGUUGGGAAAGAAAAGCAGCAGGUUAAUACCCCGCCGUUCUGACGGUACCCAAAGAAUAAGCACCGGCUAACUUCGUG